AGAUAAUAAAUAAUUAUGUUUAAAAAAAUUUAUUAAAGGUUUAUUUUAUAUAUAAAUUUUAGUGUUAAAUUUUAAUUAUUUUAAUAAUAAAAUAAAUGAAUAUGUAGUAAAUAAAUUUAAAAAUUUAAGAAAUUAAGAUUUAGUAAUACAAAAAUAAAUAACAAAUUUUGUGCCAGCAGUUGCGGUUAUACAAAAAUUUAAUUAAAUUAUUUCAGUAUUAUAAAUAAUAAAUUUUAUUAAAAUAAAUAUUAAAUUAUUAGGUGAAAUUUUAAUUUAGUUAAAUUUUAUUUUUAAUUUAUGUUUAAUAAAUUUUAAUAUAAACUAGGAUUAGAUACCCUAUUAUUAAAAAUUUAAUUAUAAAUGCUAAAAUAGUAAAUAAUUUUUUAUUGAAACUUAAAUAAUAUGGCGGUAUUUUAGUUCAUUUAGAGGAAUCUGUUUAAUAAUUGAUAAUCCACGAAUAAAUUUACUUAAUUUAAAAUUUUAUAUAUCGUUGUUAAAAAAAUAUUUUUAAUAAAAAAUAAUAUUUAAAAAUUAAAAUAAAAAAUUAAUUCAGAUCAAGAUGUAGAUUAUAAUUAAGAAUAUAAUGGAUUACAAUAAAUUUAUUUAAAUGGAUAUAUUAUUGAAAAAUAAUAUUAAAGGUGGAUUUAAAUGUAAUUUUAUUUAAUUUAAUAAAAUGAUUAAAAAUUAAAAUAUGUACAUAUUGCCCGUCACUUUCAUUUGAAAAUUGGAAUAAGUCGUAACAAAGUAGAGGUACUGGAAAGUGUUUCUAGAAAGAU
rnacentral:ncRNA from 1 species